AGAGUUCAUUUUUAAAAUUUAACUUGUUGGUCUAGCAUUGCAAAUCAUGAGAGGGAAUUUGUCUGAAUAUCUUAACAGUGGAUGGACUGGAUGGAAAAUGACGUAGCUGGGUAACUGAGGAAAUCAUGUGUAAGAGCAAGUAAAGGUAGGAUUAGAUUCUGGAAAUACUGGGAAAGUUAGAGGUGAAAAAGGAGACCUGAAUCUAACAGGUUGAGUAACCAAGAACAGGGAUCACACAGAAAAAAAGGGCAAGGCAGAACAGAAAAGACAUACUCAAAACUUUGGUAAAUCCUACUGACUUUGGAAGGCCCUUAAGUAAAUUGUUUGUUUGUAUCCUUACAUUUGUUUCAGAAACCAACAAUUGGCUUAAAUAGGGGCCACUUAGAGUUUGGGAUACAAAGACUGCUAUGGUUUGGGCACACAAAACAUGAUCAUCAAUACAGUCUUAAAGUUAGUAACUUUAGAUGUAUUACAAAGAAAUGCAAUUUAGCAUAGAAACCUAUGUGGUGAACCAGAGAAUAGCUGGCAAUUAUUGAGUACCUAUUAUGUACCACACAAUUGUGAAAUCACUGUUUCUGGUGGGCAUUUAUUGUACAGUAUAAGUUGCUGUCUGCUGUCCAGAUUUCAAGUUCAAAUGAUCAGCAUAGGUAAAGUCAGUGUACAUGAGUUUGGAUUAUAUCUAUGAUAGCCAGCAUGAGUUAAUGAAAAGGGAAUUAUAUAAACUUCUGAAGUGAAUUUUUGUUAUUGCAAAUAAUUUUAAUGACAUCAAACCACCUACAAACAUGUGUAUGCAAUGUAUACAUACUGAUACUCUUUCUUCAGGAUGCUAGAAACUACAAAAGUUUUUGAGAGGUAAUAUUCUUAAGCUAUAUGUCUAUCUACUAUCUAUGGAGAGGGAGUUGAUUCAUCUGAAUGGAGUUAAAGAAUAAUGAAAGAGCAAUACCAUUACUUAUGUCACUUAUGUGUCUUCAGUAUUCCUUAUGACAACCUUUCUGAUACUUUCUUCAGACAUUUCUAGUGCAUUAGGAAAUACAGUAUAAUAACCAUUUUGUAUAUUUCAAGUGGAUACAUCACUAAUACAAUGUACCGUGAUGUUAGAAAGGUAAUCAAUAUUCAGAUUAUGCAUGACACCUUUCCCCUUCAGGUUUAUUGUCAUUGGUACUCAAUUGUUUUUGUUCUUUUGAUGUCUUGUGGCAGCCUGUCUUUUAAACAGCUGUGUUAUUUGCAUCUUAUCCUCCCUUUAUAUAACUGUCCCUUAGAGAAAUACCUUUAAAAACACAUCCUUUCAAUAAUCUUUCUUGUUCUAGCAAAGAGUUAAUAACAAGACAAUAUUAUGUGGAAGGGGUGAUUUGAGCUGAAAAAGGGUAUAGAGACAAAUGAACAGGAUUCCAGGCCCUUCUGUUUCAAAUAUUCUUCAUAAUAGUCUCGACAGUUGUUAUAAAAUGAAUUGCCAGAGUGUAUAGAAGCCAAAAAUAAAUGAUUGCUCUUUUUCUGUAAUGUCAUAUUGUGCAUACCUCUGUCCUUAUCAUUUAUUUGUGCGAUGAUGAGUUUUAUGAUGUAAAAUUGGGUGCAUCCAUUCAUUGAUAUUCAUCACUCAGAAAGGGUAACAUUUAGAAUUAUACUAUACUGGGAGUUCCCAUUGUGGCUCAAUGGGUUAAGAACCCAACUAAGUAUCCGUGAGGAUGCACAUUCCAUCCCUGGCCUCACUCAGUGGGUUAAGAAUCCGGCAUUGCUGUGAGCUGUAGAAUAGAUCAUAUAUAUGGCUUGGAUCUGCUGUUGCUGUGGCUGUGGUUUAGGCUGGCAGUUGAAGCUCUGAUUCGACCCCCAACCUAGGAACUUACAAUAUGUUGCAGGGGUGGCCAUAACAGCAACACAAACAAACAAAAAGAACUAUACUGUGCCGAACUGCAGAUCCUUAAGGAAAGGCACCAUAUUUUAUUAAUCCUUAAAACUUAGCACGGUACCUGGCAUACUGGAGGAUUCAACACUCUUUUGUAGCUAUCCUAGAAAGAUUACUUUGAUCCUUGCUUACCAGACCAUC
rnacentral:lncRNA from 1 species